rnacentral:tRNA from 1 species
GAGGGUGUAGCUCAAGUGGUAGAGUGCACGCUCAGCAUGCAUGAGGUCUGGGGUUCAAUCCCCAGUGCCUCCA